UUUUGUAUAAUGGGUCAGCGACUUAUAUUCUGUAGCAAGGUUAACCGAAUAGGGGAGCCGAAGGGAAACCGAGUCUUAACUGGGCGUUAAGUUGCAGGGUAUAGACCCGAAACCCGGUGAUCUAGCCAUGGGCAGGUUGAAGGUUGGGUAACACUAACUGGAGGACCGAACCGACUAAUGUUGAAAAAUUAGCGGAUGACUUGUGGCUGGGGGUGAAAGGCCAAUCAAACCGGGAGAUAGCUGGUUCUCCCCGAAAGCUAUUUAGGUAGCGCCUCGUGAAUUCAUCUCCGGGGGUAGAGCACUGUUUCGGCAAGGGGGUCAUCCCGACUUACCAACCCGAUGCAAACUGCGAAUACCGGAGAAUGUUAUCACGGGAGACACACGGCGGGUGCUAACGUCCGUCGUGAAGAGGGAAACAACCCAGACCGCCAGCUAAGGUCCCAAAGUCAUGGUUAAGUGGGAAACGAUGUGGGAAGGCCCAGACAGCCAGGAUGUUGGCUUAGAAGCAGCCAUCAUUUAAAGAAAGCGUAAUAGCUCACUGGUCGAGUCGGCCUGCGCGGAAGAUGUAACGGGGCUAAACCAUGCACCGAAGCUGCGGCAGCGACACUGUGUGUUGUUGGGUAGGGGAGCGUUCUGUAAGCCUGUGAAGGUGUGCUGUGAGG
rnacentral:rRNA from 1 species